GACGAACGCUGGCGGCGUGCUUAACACAUGCAAGUCGAACGGAAAGGCGCUGCUUUCGCGGGGUGCGCGAGGGGCGAACGGGUGAGUAACACGUGAGUAACCUGCCCUUUAGUUUGGGAUAACUUCAGGCAACUGGGGCUAAUACAGGAUAGGAGCUGCUGCAGCAUGGUGGGGGUUGGAAAGUUUCGGCGGAUGGGGAUGGACUGGCGGUUUAUGAGCUUGUUGGUGGGGUAGUGGCUAACCAAGGCUUUGACGGGUAGCCGGCCUGAGAGGGUGGCCAGCGACAAUAGUACUGAGGGAGGGCGCAGUCUGCUAUAGGAGGCAACGGGGGGGAAUAUUACACAGUGAGGGGGAGCGUGUUAAGACGGCGCCGCGUGCGGAAUGAACGCCUUCGGGUUAAGAACCGCUUUCGGCUGAGACGAUGCGGGAGUGACGGUAAUGGAUGAAUAAGCACCGGCUAACUACGUG
rnacentral:rRNA from 1 species